AGCCCCCGUGGCUUGCUCCCUGCAUUCCAAAAUGCUGGAUGAAGAAAGAAAAACACGAAGCAUAGAAACCGUUUGUGGCGACGUUUUUGGAUCACUUCUGGUCUUGUUUUGACAAGCAGGGGCUUGCAGCUACUUUUGAUUUCAGAUGCUGAUGGAGAAGAAGAGGCGAGAAGAAGGAGAGAGAAGGAGAAGGAUGUUCCCUGGCAACUAUCACCAGGAAACUGAUCUCACCAGAGAAAGGUAACCCACUUACUGUGAUGGACAGAAACCUCCCUGGAUGAAGAAUAUUGCUACCUUUAGUGUCCAUGUAAAAAAACAAAAAUUACUCUGCUUGGUCAUCACAAAGAAUAAGAAAGAACCAUGGCCCGGCCCCAUCUCCAUGGAAUUCCUGGAUUUCUGGACAUACCUGGAUGGCUUCUUCCUGAUGGAGUGGAGAAAGAAAGUUUGGUAGAAUUACUUUCUUUUAUUUUCAAGUCGCAUUCUUGUUGCAAGGUCAAAUAUCCCUCCAGGUUUGUCGAGGACUGUGGGAUUUCUGGGACCCAGGACUUCGCACAGCUGAAGCCAGGAGAGUUUCUGACAAACUGACAUGAGUUAACCACAGAUGCCGUAACUCACUAACACUGAAAUGUUUCCUGAGAGAGGCAAUCAAAGACUGUUGGAUGGAAUGAGAAAACCUUCAGUGGCUUAGACUUCUGUGUAGUGCUCUGCAUUUUACAGAAUGUGGCUGUUCAUACAAACCGACUCACUUAAUGCUAUUGAUGCUCCAAGCAAGCAAAGGCAUUAGCUACUUUCAUGCUGCUGUGACCCAAAUCUCUGAGAGUAUGUAUUUAGCUCCCAGUUUCAGACACGUUACUCCACUGUUGCAGGGAGGCUGUGACAGAGCAGUUCACAGCAUGGUGGCCAGAGAACACUCAGCAAGAUUCAGCUUCCAUGAACAUACCUCUCUGGUGGCCUGAUUCCUCCAAUAGGCCCCACCUCCCACCUUCACCAUCCUACUGGCAAUCCAUCACGAGGUGAAUCCUUUCGUGAGCGCAGAACCCUUCCUAUCUUGCCACAUCUGACUGUGUUCUCACAGAGACCCCCAAGAUGUGUUUUGUCUGUUGCCUAGGUGCUUCUCACUUAAUNNNNNNNNNNAAAGUUGAUAAUUCCCCAUAGUAGGCCCUCACAAAGUUGAUAAUUCCCCAUAGUAGGCCCUCACAAAGUUGAUAAUUCCCCAUAGUAGGCCCUCACAGUUACCAUCUUGUCUCUGGUGCAGGCACUGCUCCGUCUCUGCUAUUCCAUCUCCCUGCUUCCCCAGGCUGAGGUUAGAGAUGUGAUAUAUUCAGCUCCUUCUGCCUUGGCGUCUCCAAGGACAGCAUGCAGAGUAGAGAACACCAACAACUGAAAAGUAUUUUUAAACCAGUGUUGUGUCUGGCAUCUCUGUCCAGUAAACACUUUUGGCUAGUUGAUACCACCUCUCCUACACGGAGGGUGAUUAAGCCAUGGCAUGUGUUAUUUUAUUUUUAUUUUUUAAUAUAACAUGUACACUCUUUUUGGAGUUUGAAUUGAAAUGCUUACAGCAUAGAAAAAUUCCUGUCGUUAAUCUUAGAAAAGUUGCAAGGAUUCUGAUGGAUCCAUACCUUUAGAAAGGAGCCUAUGCAAACAGCAUCUUUUCUAAGCCAUCCAAGUGUCCUUGCUUAAAAUGUGACCGUCACUCCAAUUGAGAAACUGCUUACAUAGAAAUAAAAGCAGGGCUGUGUCGUCUCUAGUCA
ensembl:lncRNA